rnacentral:rRNA from 1 species
UACGAAGGGGGCUAGCGUUGCUCGGAAUGACUGGGCGUAAAGGGCGCGUAGGCGGAUUGAACAGUCAGGCGUGAAAUUCCCGGGCUCAACCUGGGGGCUGCGCUUGAGACGUGCGAUCUUGAGUGGGGAAGAGGGUCGUGGAAUUCCCAGUGUAGAGGUGAAAUUUGUAGAUAUUGGGAAGAACACCGGUGGCGAAGGCGGCGACCUGGUCCUUGACUGACGCUGAGGUGCGAAAGCGUGGGGAGCAAACAGG